rnacentral:rRNA from 1 species
GACGAACGCUGGCGGCGUGCCUAAUACAUGCAAGUUGAGCGCUGAAGGCUGGUACUUGUACCAACUGGAUGAGCAGCGAACGGGUGAGUAACGCGUGGGGAAUCUGCCUUUGAGCGGGGGACAACAUUUGGAAACGAAUGCUAAUACCGCAUAAAAACUUUAAACACAAGUUUUAAGUUUGAAAGAUGCAAUUGCAUCACUCAAAGAUGAUCCCGCGUUGUAUUAGCUAGUUGGUGAGGUAAAGGCUCACCAAGGCGAUGAUACAUAGCCGACCUGAGAGGGUGAUCGGCCACAUUGGGACUGAGACACGGCCCAAACGCCUACGGGAGGCAGCAGUAGGGAAUCUUCGGCAAUGGACGAAAGUCUGACCGAGCAACGCCGCGUGAGUGAAGAAGGGUUUCGGAUCGUAAAAAUCUGUUGGUAGAGAAGAACGUUGGUGAGAGUGGAAAGCUCAUCAAGUGACGGUAACUACCCAGAAAGGGACGGCUAACUACGUG